GAGGGUAACAGCUUAGUGGUAGAGCACAUGCUUAGCAUGCACAAGGUCCUGAGUUCAAUCCCCAGUACCUCCA
rfam:Camelus ferus unplaced genomic scaffold scaffold618, whole genome shotgun sequence.